GGCCCGGGUAGCUCAGCCUGGUAGAGCGCCGGGCUGUGGAGACCCGGAGGUCCCGGGUUCAAAUCCCGGCCCGGGC
rnacentral:tRNA from 1 species